rnacentral:lncRNA from 1 species
GGCCAUUGCCAUCCGCCCAAAUCUACAGACAUCCCGCAUGUUCCCGGGCUCGUCUCCCCAAUACAGGGCACCAAGGCUGUAGACUGCGCAGCCCUCCUGGAGACAGAUGGAAGCUCCUUGGGUCGACAGAUUACAGCUUCUGGAACCCCCUACUCCCUUCAACUCCGAGAUGGACACCCACUGUCCAGGGAGAGGAUGCCUGGAAAUAACAGCUGGGAUCUACAGUGGCCAAAGAGUUGUCUCCGUCUUGCUACAUCGACAAACUGGUGCUCCUGAGUGAGGAUUGUGCCCUGGGAUGGGGGAUUCAGUUUCUUCAUUUAUAGUUGGAAGUGGGUGAAGCCACUUCGGAAGCGUUUUCCUCUCCACUCUGACAACAGGCAAGAGUGAGGGUCCAACAAUACAGAGGAAGUAACGUGUCGCUGCUACUCUUCCAUGCCCAGUGCCAGGAGCGACGGUACACUCCAGAGUGCUGUGCCCUGAUGGGCCUUUGAGUGGCCAGUGCAGUGGAUCAUCAGCCCUGUCUCCCAAGAGCUCCAGUCCCUUCUCCGGAGAGGAAGUGGGUCCACUGGCAGCUCAGGAGGCCAUAGCAGAUGUUUGUGGACAUCAGAGGGCCAAAGACGACACAAAGUGAAACUGGAGACACCGCCCCCCCUUGGCAUCAUGAAACUGCCGAUGUUACUGGCUCAUGCAUGGGAGACACCAGCAUACAAAGUCUUGACACCAACACCUCAGAGGGCUGUGUUCUGUCCCCGUGACCAUCAUCUAGUGCCUGGAAAGACUAGUGACAAGAACUUGUUGCCAACUUCCUAUUACCUCCCUAACAGUUGUGCAAUAAACCCCAUAGGUUAA